GGAGAGAUGGCUCAAUGGUUAAGAGCACUAGCUGCUAUUCCAGAGGACCUGGGUUCAAUUCCCAGCACCC
rnacentral:tRNA from 1 species